rnacentral:rRNA from 1 species
UUGAUCCUGGCUCAGGACGAACGCUGGCGGCGUGCCUAAUACAUGCAAGUCGAGCGGACAGAUGGGAGCUUGCUCCCUGAUGUUAGCGGCGGACGGGUGAGUAACACGUGGGUAACCUGCCUGUAAGACUGGGAUAACUCCGGGAAACCGGGGCUAAUACCGGAUGGUUGUUUGAACCGCAUGGUUCAAACAUAAAAGGUGGCUUCGGCUACCACUUACAGAUGGACCCGCGGCGCAUUAGCUAGUUGGUGAGGUAACGGCUCACCAAGGCGACGAUGCGUAGCCGACCUGAGAGGGUGAUCGGCCACACUGGGACUGAGACACGGCCCAGACUCCUACGGGAGGCAGCAGUAGGGAAUCUUCCGCAAUGGACGAAAGUCUGACGGAGCAACGCCGCGUGAGUGAUGAAGGUUUUCGGAUCGUAAAGCUCUGUUGUUAGGGAAGAACAAGUACCGUUCGAAUAGGGCGGUACCUUGACGGUACCUAACCAGAAAGCCACGGCUAACUACGUGCCAGCAGCCGCGGUAAUACGUAGGUGGCAAGCGUUGUCCGGAAUUAUUGGGCGUAAAGGGCUCGCAGGCGGUUUCUUAAGUCUGAUGUGAAAGCCCCCGGCUCAACCGGGGAGGGUCAUUGGAAACUGGGGAACUUGAGUGCAGAAGAGGAGAGUGGAAUUCCACGUGUAGCGGUGAAAUGCGUAGAGAUGUGGAGGAACACCAGUGGCGAAGGCGACUCUCUGGUCUGUAACUGACGCUGAGGAGCGAAAGCGUGGGGAGCGAACAGGAUUAGAUACCCUGGUAGUCCACGCCGUAAACGAUGAGUGCUAAGUGUUAGGGGGUUUCCGCCCCUUAGUGCUGCAGCUAACGCAUUAAGCACUCCGCCUGGGGAGUACGGUCGCAAGACUGAAACUCAAAGGAAUUGACGGGGG